rnacentral:rRNA from 1 species
GUAAAAGUCGUAACAAGGUUUCCGUAGGUGAACCUGCGGAAGGAUCAUUACAGAGUUCAUGCCCGAAAGGGUAGACCUCCCACCCUUGUGUAUUAUUACUUUGUUGCUUUGGCGAGCUGCCUUCGGGCCUUGUAUGCUCGCCAGAGAAAACCAAAACUCUUUUUAUUAAUGUCGUCUGAGUACUAUAUAAUAGUUAAAACUUUCAACAACGGAUCUCUUGGUUCUGGCAUCGAUGAAGAACGCAGCGAAAUGCGAUAAGUAAUGUGAAUUGCAGAAUUCAGUGAAUCAUCGAAUCUUUGAACGCACAUUGCGCCCCUUGGUAUUCCGGGGGGCAUGCCUGUUCGAGCGUCAUUUCAACCCUCAAGCUUAGCUUGGUAUUGAGUCUAUGUCAGUAAUGGCAGGCUCUAAAAUCAGUGGCGGCGCCGCUGGGUCCUGAACGUAGUAAUAUCUCUCGUUACAGGUUCUCGGUGUGCUUCUGCCAAAACCCAAAUUUUUCUAUGGUUGACCUCGGAUCAGGUAGGGAUACCCGCUGAACUUAAGCAUAUCAAUAAGCGGAGGAAAAGAAACCAACAGGGAUUACCUCAGUAACGGCGAGUGAAGC